ensembl:lncRNA
GAUGAAGGUGACGGUGGUGUCAGUGCUGCAGACCCUCCCGUCCCGCCCGCCCCACAACCUCCUCCCUGCCCCACAACCUCCCCCCUCACGUCACACCACAAUGGCGCCGUGGGUCACAGCCGUGGGUCACACAGCCGUGGGUCACAACUAUGGGUCACAACCAUGGCUCACACAACCAACCAUGGGUCACAGCCAUGGGUCACAGCUGUGGGUCACAGCCAUGGCUCACAGCCAUGGCUCACGCAACCAGCCGUGGGUCACAGCCGUGGGUCACAGCCGUGGGUCACACAGCUGUGGGUCACAACCAAGGGUCACAGCCAUGGGUCACACAGCUGUGGGUCACGCAACCAUGGGUCACAACCAUGGGUCACAGCCGUGGGUCACGCAACCAUGGCUCACACAACCAGCCGUGGGUCACAGCCAUGGGUCACGCAACCAGCCGUGGGUCACAGCCGUGGGUCACAGCCAUGGCUCACACAACCAACCAUGGGUCACAGCCGUGGGUCACAGAGCGCUGUAUUUCGCCCCCGCCCCCCCCUCACCCCAGCGCCCCCCAGACGCCGAGGACGAGGACGAUGCUCACGAUGGCGCCGUGGGUCGCGGUGGGGCGGCCGUGGGUCGCGGCGGCGGCGGUGAGGAAGGUGACGCCGGGGGCUCGUGGGGCGAUCCAUGGGGCGUAGGCGCUGACGCGGGUGUAGACCCCCGGGCGCUUGGGCACCGCGCAGCCCUCCCCCCAACUCACGAUGCCCACCAGCACCCAGCGCCGCCCCACGGCGCACACCAGCGGGCCGCCUGAGUCGCCCUAGGGGGAGAGAUGUGGGGCCGGGGUCACUGGGGGCAGCCCCACAGCGGCCCCGUAGACCCCAUAGGAGCCCCAUAGCCAUAUAGGGACCCCACAGGCCCCAUAGGAGCCCCAUAACCCCAUAGGGAGCCCAUAGACCCCAUAGUGGCCCCACAGACCCCAUAGACCCCACAGGGACCCCAUAGCGGCCCCAUAGACCCCAUAGCGGCCCCACAGACCCCAUAGGGACCCUAUAAGCACCCCCUAGGGAUCCCAGCAGCACCCAGCGCCGACCCACGGCGCACACCAGCGGGCCGCCUGAGUCGAACCUAGGGGGAGAGAUGUGGGGCCGGGGUCACUGGGGGCAGCCCCACAGCGGCCCCAUAGACCCCACAGGGACCCCGCAGCAGCCCCAUAACCCCAUAGGAGCCCCAUAAUCCUAUUAGAGCUCCAUAGACCCCAUAGAGACCCCAUAGGAGCCCCAUAACCCCAUAGGGAGCCCAUACACCCCACAGGGACCCCAUAGCGGCCCCAUAGACCCCAUAGGAGCCCCAUAGCCAUAUAGGGACCCCACAGGCCCCAUGGGAGCCCCAUAACCCCUAUAGGGAACCCAUAGACACCACAGGGACCCCAUAGCGGCCCCAUAGACCCCACAGGGACCCCAUAGCGGCCCCAUAGACCCCAUAGGAGCCCCAUAGCCAUAUAGGGAGCCCAUAGACCCCAUAGGAGCCCCAUAACCCCAUAGGGAGCCCAUAGACCCCACAGGGACCCCAUAGCGGCCCCAUAGACCCCAUAGCCCCAUAGCAGCCCCACAGACCCCCAUAGGGGCCUCAUAACCCCUAUAGGGAGCCCAUAGACCCCACAGACCCCACAUUGACCCCUGACCCUUGGCCUCAUGACCCCCUGACCCUCGACCCCCUGACCUUUGACCCCCUGACCUUUGACCCCCUGACCUUGCAGGUGUCGCGCUGUCCCUGCGGGUACCCGGCGCAGAUCACGGCCCCACGGGGACCCC